rnacentral:rRNA from 1 species
UCGGGUUGUAAAGCACUUUUGUCCGGAAAGAAAACUUCUGCCCUAAUACGGUGGGAGGAUGACGGUACCAGAAGAAUAAGCACCGGCUAACUACGUGCCAGCAGCGCGGUAAUCGUAGGGUGCGAGCGUUAAUCGGAAUUACUGGGCGUAAAGCGUGCGCAGGCGGUUCGUUAAGACAGAUGUGAAAUCCCCGGGCUUAACCUGGGAACUGCAUUUGUGACUGGCGAGCUAGAGUAUGGCAGAGGGGGGUAGAAUUCCACGUGUAGCAGUGAAAUGCGUAGAGAUGUGGAGGAAUACCGAUGGCGAAGGCAGCCCCCUGGGCCAAUACUGACGCUCAUGCACGAAAGCGUGGGGAGCAAACAGGAUUAGAUACCCUGGUAGUCCACGCCCUAAACGAUGUCAACUAGUUGUUGGGUCUUCAUUGACUUAGUAACGUAGCUAACGCGUGAAGUUGACCGCCUGGGGAGUACGGUCGCAAGAUUAAAACUCAAAGGAAUUGACGGGGACCCGCACAAGCGGUGGAUGAAUGUGGAUUAAUUCGAUGCAACGCGAAAAACCUUACCUACCCUUGACAUGGUCGGAACCUGCUG